GGGGUUGUAGCUCAGUGGUACAGUACUUGCCUACUAAGUGUGAGGCCUUGGGUCCAAUCCCCAACAACUCAG
rnacentral:tRNA from 1 species